rnacentral:lncRNA from 1 species
GUUGCAGUGAGUGGAGAAGAGAUUACGCGAAGACGACGAACCUGAGGUAGGCGACGGCGAGCUCGGCCCCACUUCUUCCGACGAGCACGACGACGUGGUGGUGGUGGUGGUCGUCGUCGUCGUGGACGACGACGACGACGACGAGUGCUGCGCGUGCAGCACCGACACCGGGCUUGAGCUCGGCAUGCCGCGCUCUGUCGCCGCCGCUCUCCUCCUGCCGUGGCCGGGAUGCUGCGCCUCGUCGUCGUCGUCGUCGCCGCCGUAGUGCAGCUUGCGGCGGGGGCAGCCACCGCUCUGUUUCUUGGCUCCGACGUGUCCGCUCUUGCCGUCGGGUUCGCCAUUGUCGUGGCGGGAAGCGGCAUCCGGGCUGAAGCUGAGGACGAUGAACUCGUCGCCCUCCUCCUUCAAGUACGGCGCCGGCGGCGGCGGCCACCCCUCCGCCGAGCUCACCGACCUGCUCCUCCUCCUCCGCCGCUGCCGCCGCAGCGGCUGGCACUCCGUCUCCGGCGGCGGCGGCGGCAUGGCGUCGAGCCCCAUCAGCCUCGCCACGACGCAGGGGCUCCUCCCCUCCUCCUGCUGCACCUGCACCUGCACCACCACCGCACCGUCGUCGUCGCCGCCGCCCGCAUUGCCGGCGGCGGCGUGCGCGCAGAGUAGGCGGCGGAGGAAGUCGAGAGCCAAGGUGGAGGACGCCAUGGCAAUGGCAACUAUGGCAGCAUCAGCUUCGCAAUGCUGCUGCUAUUAUAUCUUCUUCUUGCCUCCGUUCUUGAUUCGAUUUGAACUGCAGUUGGAGGGAAAAAGAAAGAAAGAAAGAGAGAGAAAAGCAAAAGGAGGAAGAAGAAAGGUAUGGCUAUGGAGGUAGCAGCAGCUUGAUUAGAUGAAGAAAUGGAUGGAAUUUUGCAAGGAUUUUACUGCUAGUGGUAGAAAGGUGAUCAACUGUUGCAGUGGUUAUCUUCUUCUUCUACUUCUACUUCUACUGCUGCUGAUGCUGUUGCACUUUUGUGUUUUGUCUGUCCCCUUGGAUCUUUGGAGUGAGGGUGUGUUUAGUUCACGUCAAAAUUGAAAGUUUGGUUGAAAUUGGAACGAUGUGACGGAAAAGUUGAAAGUUUGUGUGCGUAGAAAAGUUUUAAUGUGAUGAAAAAGUUGAAAGUUUGAAGAAAAAGUUUGGAUCUAAACUCGGCCUGAGUGAAAUUUUUACCGUUUGACAUUUGAAAUACUCCUAGAGUAUUUGCUCAUACUGUUUUAUUACAGUUAGUAGUAGGACUAUCAUAUUUGUGUGUAUUGUGAUAAGGUUGGGACUGACACUGUUUACCUGCCUGUGCCAUAUAUGAGCACUGUAGUUCAUAGCUUCACUAUUGCAAUGUUAUAAUAAAUGGGGUGGAGUGAGAAAAAGGUU